rnacentral:lncRNA from 1 species
AGGAGUUUGUAAUUAUUGGUGAGAUUGAAGCUGACGAUAGCUUGAUCUUGAGUUUAAAGUCUAUCCAGUAUGACCUUUGUUGGGAACGCUGUAGACAACUUCAAGCCGAAGAUGUUGUUGUCAAGGGUAAGGUAGGAUUUGUAUACCCAGAAUCAGUUUCUGUCACUAUUUAGCAUAAUUUUAUUGAUUCCAAAUCAAAAGAGUCAUGACAUCAUUUUCUUGUAAUCUCUCUAUAAUGUAAUAUUAGAAAGUGACGCAUAGGAAAACUAUUCUUAUUACCUUUUUGAGUUGGUUUAUUUGAUCUCUUUAGUUACAUUGAGUGGUUCAUCUCCCGACCCAUGUCUCUCUAUCUAUCUUUACGUAUGCACUUUUUGUGGCAGAUUGUUGGUGCAAACAAAGGUGGACUGGUGGCUGAGGUGGAGGGCCUUAAGGGGUUUGUUCCGUUCUCACAGAUAUCAGCGGUUAGUUCCUGACCUACUUUGACAUUUAUGGACUUGCAUCACAUUCAAUCUUGCUUUUGACAAUGUCAGAGCAUUAAUACAACAAACCGUUCAGCAACAUGGAGCAUAACAAAUCCUUAAUAGUUUUUGACAAGUAUUGGUGGCACAAACUUGUAAAUAUUAAUCUUCCACCACUCUUACGAAUGUUGAAAUUGACUAAUUGAGUUGUGCAAUUUUACUUGUGACACUUGAAUGCUUCAACUUGCCCUGAUGUAGAUUAUUCUGGAUUAAUAUAAAAGAAGUUUCUUUCCAUGCUCAUUUCCGUCUUUCAUCUUUCUCUUUCUAAAAGUAUAAUUUUAGCUACCAAGUCAAACUCUUUCCCUUUGUUUAUUUCUCCUUAGAAAUCAACUGAAGAAGAGCUUCUUGAGAAGGAUCUUCCUCUGAAGUUUGUGGAGGUGGAUGUGGAACAAUCCAGACUUAUCCUCAGUCACCGCAAAGCUGCAGCUGACAGCCAUGGACAGCUAGGAAUUGGAUCAGUAGUCACCGGCACUGUCCAAAGCCUAAAGCCGUAUGGUGCCUUCAUUGACAUUGGUGGAAUGAGUGGCCUCCUUCACAUAAGUCAGAUCAGUCAUGACCGUAUAACCGACAUUGCAACUGCUCUUCAACCUGGUGAUACGCUGAAGGUAAACCUAUACUAAGCUAUGUGGAUAUUUGCUUAGAAUUACUGUGGUUGUGUCGGCAUAAAAUCUCAUUUAUUCUUUGUUAUAUGAAUAAUUUGAAUAUGAGCAGAUACUAUAAAAAAUCAUGUGUAACAUCUAUACAUUAUUAAUGUAAAGAUUUAUACGCAGUUAUUACAUCAUUCACUUUUCUUUUCUUUUUUUGAUUAAGAGUGAAUAAUGAUUAUGUAUGAAUGGUGAAAAAUAUAAUAAAAGUGUAUAAGAUUCUUACUCCAUAUUAUAUUUUGUAUGGAUUUAAAUAUAAAGAAUAAAAUUAAGUUAAUAAUUAUGGUUAAGUACAAAUGUGUUUAAUAAUUCAUGUUAUCUGAUUCAUUCCUUAUCUAACCCAAAGCCAAACCUGAAACUCGAGAAAGAUAGCAAUGGCGUCUCUUGCUCAUAAUUUAAGUGCCAUUUGCUAUUCUCCACUCUCUUCAAGACCAACCCUUAUCCAUAGCCACAAACAGAGGCGCACUUCUAUUGUGUGUUCUUCAGUUGCAAUAUCAAGUGCACAGAACAAAGAGAGAAUAAAGCUCAAAGAACUUUUUGAAGAUGCUUAUGAAAGAUGUCGCACUGCUCCAAUGGAAGGUGUUUCUUUUACUCUUGAAAACUUCACUGAUGCUCUAGAAAAAUAUGAUUUUGAUGCUGAAGUUGGGACCAAGGUAACUUUCUCUAAUUCAGUUGUUCUUUGCUUCACUCAAUUUUAUCUCUAAUUGUAUAAAGUUAUUAUCUUUGUCAUUGCAUGAGAUAGUUUUCGUGGAACUUGCAACUGGGUUGUUAUAGUUUUUUGUUUAAUUUUGUAUUUUUUUUAUAUAGAAAUUCAAAUUUUGGACAUGUUUUAAUUGAAGAUGAAAAGGGUGUUAUUGAAUUUAAUUUUUUUGCUGAUGUGUGUCUAUGGAUCAGAAUGUUUACCUUAUGGUAGCGUUUGGUAGGGAUAAGGCUACUCUAAAGUGAACAAAUGUAUGAAAUAAACAACAGUGCAUUCACCCUUAUAGACUGAAUUAUGAUUUUAAUGCAAUUGAGAUUAAGUCAUUCUUAAUUGUUUACUUGACAGAAUUGCUCAAAUUGGAGCAGCUAGUUCCUAAACAAUGCCAAUGUGUUUGUCUAUGCCAAUUGUUAAUUGAUUGUGUAUGGUGUAAACAAAAUUGAUUUUUUUCUAAUGUAGUUCUUAGAGGUAUUUUAGUAGAUUGAUGAUGCUGGUCUGUGUUUCAGGUUAAGGGCACCAUAUUUGGUACAGAUGCUGGUGGAGCUUAUGUAGACAUUACCGCAAAGUCCACAGCGUACUUGCCCCUACAAGAGGCAUGCAUCCACCGAAUUAAAUACGUACAUGAGGCAGGCAUAGUUUCUGGCGUCAGAGAGGAGUUUGUAAUUAUUGGUGAGAUUGAAGCUGACGAUAGCUUGAUCUUGAGUUUAAAGUCUAUCCAGUAUGACCUUUGUUGGGAACGCUGUAGACAACUUCAAGCCGAAGAUGUUGUUGUCAAGGGUAAGGUAGGAUUUGUAUACCCAGAAUCAGUUUCUGUCACUAUUUAGCAUAAUUUUAUUGAUUCCAAAUCAAAAGAGUCAUGACAUCAUUUUCUUGUAAUCUCUCUAUAAUGUAAUAUUAGAAAGUGACGCAUAGGAAAACUAUUCUUAUUACCUUUUUGAGUUGGUUUAUUUGAUCUCUUUAGUUACAUUGAGUGGUUCAUCUCCCGACCCA